rnacentral:misc_RNA from 1 species
GAUGAAGAACGUAGCGAAAUGCGAUAAGUAGUGUGAAUUGCAGAAUUCAGUGAAUCGUCGAAUCUUUGAACGCACAUUGCGCCCCUUGGUAUCCCGAGGGGCAUGCCUGUUCGAGCGUCAUUUCACCACUCAAGCCUGGCUUGGUGUUGGGCGACGUCCCCUUUGGGGACGCGCCUCGAAACGCUCGGCGGCGUGGCACCGGCUUUAAGCGUAGCAGAAUCUUUCGCUUUGGAAGUCGGGGCCCCGUCUGCCGGAAGACCUACUCGCAAGGUUGACCUCGGAUCAGGCAGGGAUACCCGCUGAACUUAAGCAUAUCAAUAAGCGGAGGA